rnacentral:rRNA from 1 species
AAUGAACGCUGGCGGCAGGCCUAACACAUGCAAGUCGAGCGGACACAUCGGGGUUAGCCGCGGAUGGGUGUGUAACCCGUGGGGAUAUGCCCUUCUCUAUGGCCUAGUCCUGGGACACUGGGGGUAAUACCGUAUCCGCCCUAUGAGGGGAAGAUAUAUCGGGGAAGGAUUAGCCCGCGUUGGAUUAGGUUGUUGGUGGGGUAAUGGCCUACCAAGCGGACGAUCCAUAGCUGGGUACAGAGGAUGGUCAGCGACACUGGGACGGAGACACGGCCCGGAAUCCUACGGGAGGGGGGAGAGGGGAAUCGUAGACAAUCGGGGGAGCGAUGAACGUCCCAGGCCGGGAAAGUGAUGAAGGCCGGGAGGAUGUAAAGCGCUUUCAGCUGGGAAGGUAAUGACGGUACCAGCAGAAGAAGCCCCGGCUAACUCCGUG